UGCAGAGUUGUGCCUUGCCUCCAGCCACUGGCAGCCAGUUGUUCUUCGGUGCUGACGGGGACGCAGCUCCACACUGUCGCGCCAAAUAAAAGGUCCCUCCCUUUAAUUGAACUGUGAUGUAAUUGGCCCCUGAAAGGAUACAUUAGCUUAUACGUAAAUGUCAAGGAAGGAGACGGAUAGGAAGAAGAAUAUGAGGAAGUAACCGCGCUACUUAAAGAGCUUUUAUUAAGAGACUCUGCAACCAAAAGAUCUCCAGGAGUGGAGUCCACGUGGAUAAGCUAUUUGAACAGAAUACACUCAAGAUGGAGAUGGUCUGGACAGUUCUGUGUCUCCAGCUCCUCCUCUGCCAGACAUGGGCCCUGUCUUCAUACCAUCACUUAGACCAUAUGCUCAAUGCUCAAACAGCCCUCAGGUCCUUGGAUGAGCCAAUGAGGUUUGACCCCUGCUGUCUCCUGGCCCCUCCCCCACCCCCACUCUUCCCUCCACCCUCCCUGCUCUGGAAACAAGGGACUCCGGU